rnacentral:tRNA from 1 species
GGGUGUAGCUCAGCGGUAGAAUUCAUGCCUAGUGUGCAUGAGGUCCUGGGUUCAAUCCCUAGUACUUCCA